AGAAUCAACGCUGGCGGCGUGCCUAACACAUGCAAGUCGUACGAGAAAGUGGAGCAAUCCAUGAGUACAGUGGCGACCGGGUGAGUAACACGUGACUAACCUACCCUCGAGUGGGGAAUAACUCCGGGAAACCGGAGCUAAUACCGCAUAAUAUCGCGAGAUCAAAGCAGCAAUGCGCUUGAGGAGGGGGUCGCGGCUGAUUAGCUAGUUGGCGGGGUAACGGCCCACCAAGGCGAAGAUCGGUA
rnacentral:rRNA from 1 species